AUAUAUAUAUAUAUAUGAAAGACAUAUGAUUUAUAACAUUUUUUGGUCUUAUUUCAUUUUUUUAACUUCUAAACUUAACCUGUGCCAGAAAACACCCUUGUCUUCGUCAAGAAUUCACAACUUCAAACAAUUAAAAAAAAAUGUUAAAAGCCUUCAAAAUCUAAAACUAACAAUACCUACUGAUAACAUAGGUGUAAACAUUUACUAUUAACAUCUUUUUUUUAAAAUAUUUUUUUAAAUGAAAAUAUUGGCCAUUUAAAGUUGUGUCCCAGAUUUUUGUCAACCUCAGAUUUCUACAAAAACAUAAUUUAAUCAGGCAUAAAAAGGGUUAGCUAUAUUUUAAGGACCCCUGUCUCACUUCCUGGUUUCAAAAAAGGCGGGAAAGCUGCUCAAGCACUGGUACAAAUGGCUAAACAAAACCUGUCUUUGGAGGUGAAGAGGGCCACAAACAGAGAGUAUGAGACAAAGAGAAGAGAGAGGAUAAAUAAUCAGCCUGACAAAAAGACAGAAGAACUACAAAGGGAAAGAGAAACAUGGA